ensembl:lncRNA
CAUGGGAGCGAGGCUACUCUUUACAAUUCAGCUAAUGCUGAUGGCUCGCGGGGUUUCCGUACUUUCCGAGCAUGCAGAUUGCAGGAUUUGUGAUCCAGGAUUUUUCCAGAAGUCCUGCAGCAUCUGUGACCAAUGUCCCAAUGGCACUUACACCCAGAAAAAAAACAUGGAACAGCACUGCCACCCCUGCUCACUAGACUGCAGACCUGAGUUUAACAUGGAGGUGGUUGAAGCAUGCAGUCCCAAGUCUGACGUCAAAUGUCGCUGCAAGGCUGGAUACACAUGCAAGAAAUUUGACGACUACUCUAAGAAGUGUUCACGCUGUAAAAAGGACCUCACUCCCACUACAGUAAAAAUGAAUGGUGUGUCUGUGAUCUCAUUUCAUACAGUUACCAAGACCACAGUGAGGUUACCUUGUGGCAGAGGCCUUUAUUUCAGUUCUUCUGGGCACUGUGAAAAGCACAAAGACUGUGACUCUAUAGGACUCAAAGUGCAAACAGCAGGAAACACCACCCACGACACAACCUGUCACUCACCUCAGUCUCCUCAGCCUCCUCAGCCUCCUCAGUCUCCUCAGUCUCCUCAGUCUGGUGUGUGUGUGUGUGUGUGUGUGUGUGUGUGUGUGUGUGUGUGUGUGUGUGUGUGUGUGUGUGUGUGUGUGUGUGUGUGUGUGUUUAUCUGGUAUAAUACAGCAAUAUACUUUUUGCAUUUGACUGUCUUUUCAUCUCUCUUCCCCACUCUCUCUCCCUCCCUUUAUCUCUCUCUCUCUUUCUCAGGUGUUGCAGGUUCUCAGUUGUGGUUGAUCCCGUUGAUUAGCAUCGGAGUCUUUGCCGUUCUUAUUCUGUUAGUCCUCUCUUGCUGCCGCAGAGAGGAUGUGUGCCUUAAGCAAUUGAUGAAGAGUUGCUCUCCAGGCAGUGAUAAAGCAGCCAUGAACGAAGCCAUGCCCAGGGGGCCAACGGCAGCAUUUCACAUCCCAGAGACUCACCCUGAUUCACUGCCAGCAGCCAAUCACAGCCACGGCCCUGCCACAGCUACUGGGGCUUUAGGCCCUCUCUACAUACACCACCCAAGCACUGUCUUUGUCAGCCUACUGAACCAGUUUGGCUUUGGAGGAGGAAGAGGAGGAGGCAGUGAGGAAGAGCAAGAACGAGCAGAGCAUGGUAACCCGAAGCCUGAGGGAAGUGAAGUGCACACUCCCUCCUCUCCCAUACCUCUAUCCACGGAAGAAAGGAGCAGAGAAGACAUCUCUGUCCCCUUUCAGGAGCAAGGGAAAGAAAGCCAUGUGUCUAAAGAGGAAGAGCUCUGAGAAACAAAGUGAGAAGGGAGGAGAGAGAUAGAUAGAGAGAGAUAGAGAGAGAACCACAGCGACACAGACAGAUAUACAGAGAGAGAGGGAAUGACUGGGAGAGAGAGAGAGAGAGAUUUGAACAACUUUCAUCAACAUGGUGCUCAUAAUUUUAGAAAAACGCACACCCUGUAUCUUUUAAACUGCCUUUUUUUUCUCAACCUUUUUGGUCAAAUUCUGCAUAUUUCAAUCACCAGAAAAAGAUUUGCACAGAAUGGCUGUGGGCAAGUAAGAAGUUAGGUGUCAGAAGGUGUCUGCUGCCUGAAGAGACACUCUAUGGACAUGCUUCUGGACAAUGUUACAGAAGGGCCUGUGUUUUUGUUGAUGUUGUGGUAGGUGUUGAUCUAAACUUUAGGUCAAAACACCUAACACAAGCAUCAGUAAGACUAAUGGCUGUACUGAGUUACUGUAACUCAUAAAUAUGCCUGUAAGAAACAAACGUUUGUAAGUGGAGGUUGCUUUAUUUAUUUAUGUUUUUAGUGCCACUAGUGCCAGACUGUGCUGUCUCACAGAAGUGCACAUAAGUCCACAGAGACAGCUGGCUGGAAUGUAUCUAGUAUUGAUCUGACACAGGUUGGUCAUGGGUCCAUUCCAGUAAAGGAUUUUCUCUAUGGACCAAAGGAAGUUGCAAUGCUUGUCAUAUGUCCUGUAUAUGGAAGUGCAAUAAAUUAAUCACAGACAUUUUGUUGACGCUUUUC